rnacentral:rRNA from 1 species
AUUGAACGCUGGCGGCAGGCCUAAUACAUGCAAGUCGAACGAGUGGCGGACGGGCGAGCAAUGUCUGGGAAACUGCCCGACGGAGGGGUGUAACUACUGGAACCGGUAGCAAAUACCGCAUACCAUCCGUUGUGCCCAGGUGGGAUUAGCUAGUAGGUGGGGUAACGGCUCACCAAGGCGACGAUCCCUAGCUGGUCUGAGAGGAUGACCGGCCACACUGGAACUGAGACACGGUCCAGACUCCUACGGGAGGCAGCAGUGGGGAAUAUUGGGCAAUGGGCGCAAGCCUGAUGCAGCCAUGCCGCGUGUGUGAAGAAGGCCUUCGGAUUGUAAAACACUGUCAGCGGAGAGGCGUUACCCAAAGAGGAAGCACCGGCUAACUCCGUGCCAGCAGCCGCGGUAAUAC